rnacentral:rRNA from 1 species
CGCCAGACUCCUACGGGAGGCAGCAGUGGGGAAUAUUGGGCAAUGGGCGCAAGCCUGACCCAGCAACGCCGCGUGAAGGAAGAAGGCUUUCGGGUUGUAAACUUCUUUUCUGAGGGACGAUAGUGACGGUACCUCAGGAAUAAGCCACGGCUAACUACGUGCCAGCAGCCGCGGUAAUACGGAGGAUGCGAGCGUUAUCCGGAUUUAUUGGGUUUAAAGGGUGCGUAGGCGGACGCUUAAGUCAGCGGUAAAAUUGCGGGGCUCAACCUCGGCGAGCCGUUGAAACUGGGUGCCUUGAGUGGGCGAGAAGUACGCGGAAUGCGUGGUGUAGCGGUGAAAUGCAUAGAUAUCACGCAGAACUCCGAUUGCGAAGGCAGCAUACCGGCGCCCAACUGACGCUGAAGCACGAAAGCGUGGGUAUCGAACAGGAUUAGAUACCCGGGUAGA